GUAUUGAUUGCAUAUAAUUGCAAAAAAAGAAAACAUUCUGCAUUGUGUCAAGUUUUAUAUAAAAACGCAGGCCCUCCCGACAAAGGGAGGACCCACGCGGUGAUGCACAAAAGGGGUGAGAUGGAUUGUGUGAGAGGGCUUAGGCGUGCACGACCUUUAAAGGUCAGCGACAGCCCUUACACCUCAGUUAUACAAUAAUGAUCCUUCCGCAGGUUCACCUACGGAAA
rnacentral:misc_RNA from 1 species